AUUGAAGGUUGGUGGCUCAUGUGAUAUUUUAGGGAGGUUGGGCAGUCCAGACUCAAGACUGGGCGUUGGCAUUUACGCCAGAGGGGGUGGGGGGUGGGGGAUGGGAUGGGUUCUUGGCGAGAAUCACUUUGUUAGGGAGAAAAGCCUUGAGCGGUGCGGGGGUUGAGAUUUGGCUGUGUGUGGGGGGAGGGGGGAGAAUGGCUGUGAGGUGUUUACGUUUGAGGGAUGGAGAGAUUCUUGCUGAUCCUGAUGGUGUAUUCUCUUGCACAGAGGUCAAUGAAGGGAAGACAGAAUGGAUGAUGUUGGGCAGGCGCAGACAAGCCUUUUGUGCUUUUGACAGCGCUCCUGAUCGCUUCCGCUGCUAUGGACCUCCGCGGCGCUGCUGCAUAGAUUAAGCGAGUGGAAUAAUUGGCGCUUUCCAAAAGCAUACACACAACCGGCUAUGGACGCAAUAUAACAUGGGAGGUGACACAUAGAAGUGCAGUUACUGCCCUUGUUUUGGCAAGCCAUCAGCCCUUGUGCGCUGUGCUGUAUUCGGAGUCAUUUCUCUCGGCGGAAUCGGCUUAUGAUGGCGAAGUAAUGACCGACACCAUCAGAAUCACAUUCUUGCUAGGGGAUUUAUGAUUCCCAAUCAAUGUAGGCUUACAUACUAGCGCCGACUUUUCAGUUCCGAGUAUUGCCGCUUGGACUCUCAAA